rnacentral:rRNA from 2 species
UUUCCAGAGAUGGACUGGUGCCUUCGGGAACUGUGAGACAGGUGCUGCAUGGCUGUCGUCAGCUCGUGUUGUGAAAUGUUGGGUUAAGUCCCGCAACGAGCGCAACCCUUAUCCUUUGUUGCCAGCGAUUAGGUCGGGAACUCAAAGGAGACUGCCAGUGAUAAACUGGAGGAAGGUGGGGAUGACGUCAAGUCAUCAUGGCCCUUACGACCAGGGCUACACACGUGCUACAAUGGCGCAUACAAAGAGAAGCGACCUCGCGAGAGCAAGCGGACCUCAUAAAGUGCGUCGUAGUCCGGAUUGGAGUCUGCAACUCGACUCCAUGAAGUCGGAAUCGCUAGUAAUCGUGGAUCAGAAUGCCACGGUGAAUACGUUCCCGGGCCUUGUACACACCGCCCGUCACACCAUGGGAGUGGGUUGCAAAAGAAGUAGGUAGCUUAACCUUCGGGAGGGCGCUUACCACUUUGUGAUUCAUGACUGGGGUGAAGUCGUAACAAGGUAACCGUAGGGGAACCUGCGGUUGGAUCACCUCCUUACCUUAAAGAA